UUGAAUUUGCUUAUGAUAUUUCUAGUCGAUUGCUUGUGUUUGUGAAACUUUGUGGCUUGUUUCUUUGAUUUCAGGAAGGAUUUUUUUUUAAGUUUUAGGAAAGGUGUCCAGAAAAUCCAAUAUUAACAAAUUUGAAAAAACCAAUUCUUGGUUACGCAUGACAGUAACACAAUGAGAGUUUCAGUGCCUCUCAGGUUAGCACUGCAUGAGCUGAAGUAUCCUAUUGGUUCGGAGCCAAGGCAAAACAGUUGGAGAUUUAUGUUGUAAAAUUCUCAGAUUUCUGAAUGUAACAAAAAAGCAUUUUACAUAUUCUGGAUGACUUUACAAAACCAAAAAAAAAAAUAGAAAAAAUGUUAUAGAUGUUGGGAAGCAUUUGGCAAUUUUUGGAUGGGCUUCCAGAAAUAAUAUACUAGUAUAUCCCACCAAUCGAACCCGAGAACUCUAGGAUAUGAAAUCAUAGUCUGUGGCCAAUAUGCCAAGGAUGUUACAACUGUUUGUUGAUGUAAGUUAAAAAAUAUAACCAACAUAAAACGUUCGGAUUCCG
rnacentral:lncRNA from 1 species